GACGAACGCUGGCGGCGUGCUUAACACAUGCAAGUCGAACGGAAAGGCCCUGCUUUUGUGGGGUGCUCGAGUGGCGAAAGGGUGAGUAACACGUGAGUAACCUGCCCUUGACUUUGGGAUAACUUAAGGAAACUGGGGCUAAUACCGGAUAGGAGCUCCUGCUGCAUGGUGGGGGUUGGAAAGUUUCGGGGGUUGGGGAUGGACUCGCGGCGUAUCAGCUUGUUGGUGGGGUAGUGGCUUACCAAGGCUUUGACGGGUAGCCGGCCUGAGAGGGUGACCGGCCACAUUGGGACUGAGAUACGGCCCAGACUCCUACGGGAGGCAGCAGUGGGGAAUAUUGCACAAUGGGCGGAAGCCUGAUGCAGCAACGCCGCGUGCGGGAUGACGGCCUUCGGGUUGUAAACCGCUUUCGCCUGUGACGAAGCGUGAGUGACGGUAAUGGGUAAAGAAGCACCGGCUAACUACGUG
rnacentral:rRNA from 1 species